rnacentral:rRNA from 1 species
CGCCGCGUGCGGGAGGACGCCCUUCGGGGUGUAAACCGCUGUCAGAGGGGAAGAACGGCAGGGCGGGGAAUACUCGUUCUGCGUGACGGUACCCUCAGAGGAAGCGCCGGCUAACUCUGUGCCAGCAGCCGCGGUAAGACAGAGGGCGCAAGCGUUGUUCGGAAUUACUGGGCGUAAAGCGCGCGCAGGCGGAUGGGUGCGUCCGGAGUGAAAUUUCGCCGCUCAACGGCGAAGCUGCUCUGGAUACGGCCCGUCUAGGGACCGGUAGAGGCUGGUGGAAUUGCUGGUGUAGCGGUGGAAUGCGUAGAGAUCAGCAAGAACACCCGUGGCGAAGGCGGCCAGCUGGGCCGGAUCCGACGCUCAGGCGCGAAAGCGUGGGGAGCAAACAGGAUUAGAUACCCUGGUAGUCCACGCCGUAAACGAUGGGCACUAGGUGCCGGGGGGAGCGACCCCGUCGGUGCCGCAGCUAACGCGAUAAGUGCCCCGCCUGGGGAGUACGGCCGCAAGGCUG